rnacentral:rRNA from 1 species
GAUGAACGCUAGCGGGAGGCUUAACACAUGCAAGUCGAGGGGCAGCACGGGGUAGCAAUACUCUGGUGGCGACCGGCCCACGGGUGAGUAACACGUAUGCAACUUACCCUGUACUGGAGGAUAACCCGGAGAAAUUCGGACUAAUACUCCAUGAUGAUAUUGAGGGGCAUCCUUUGAUAUUUAAAGCUCAGGCGGUACGGGAUGGGCAUGCGGAACAUUAGCUAGUUGGCAGGGUAACGGCCUACCAAGGCUACGAUGUUUAGGGGACCUGAGAGGGUGAUCCCCCACACUGGUACUGAGACACGGACUAGACUCCUACGGGAGGCAGCAGUGAGGAAUAUUGGUCAAUGGGCGCAAGCCUGAACCAGCCAUCCCGCGUGCAGGAAGACGGCGCUAUGCGUUGUAAACUGCUUUUCCAGGGGGUGAAACUCUCGUACGAGUACGGGAUUGACGGUACCCUGGGAAUAAGCAUCGGCUAACUCCGUGCCAGCAGCCGCCGUAAAAC